GGGUUGCCACCAGUGGAACUCGACAUUGGCCACGCAAGAGUUACCCAGGAGGCGAAUAUACAGCGGUUGCGAAGUGGUAGCCGUGAACUUGCACGAUGUGUAACACUUUUCCUUCCAGAGUCGCGUUGCCCUACGAGGAUUAGUUCGCAAACGGCGAACGCAAUGUGUCUUGCAUCUUGCAUAUUUACGUCACGCUUCGAGGAGUGCGGCCAACCUGGCGCCAAGCUUUACCUACUCUGCUAUGGAGUCCGCAAAGAAGAUCGUGGAUAAGCCUGGUACUCUGGAAGAUCGGUGCAAGGUGACGCGAUAAUGCGUUUCGUGAUAUGCAGUCGGUAAAACCGGACGGUGCAGGUAAUUUAUGGUACACAGUGAAGAGAGUUGAAGAAGAAGAAGAAGAAGAAGAAGAAGAAGAAGAAGAAGAAGAAAAGGAUUCUGAUAGCCGUGUUAUUUUUAUAAUCGCCAAGAACUGUACUUACGUACACGCUGUCUUGUCUUUUCGUUGCAAUUUUCACAUUACCGCCAUCUACAUGCAGUUUAGUGUAUUUCUUACAGGAUUUAACGUACCUUAAUGUCCCGACCGUUGAGUCGUAACGACUUGGCAUUUCAUUUGACGAUUCUGACUAGUGACAAAUCAUUCCUGCAGGAAAGAAGAGGCAAACCUAUAAAAAUCAAGAAUAAAUUGUUACCGUACGAUGGACGCGCCAUUUAUGAAAACGGAAAGUGACACUUUACUACCGUGUCUUUCUGAUUUAUACGUCUUAAAUGACACUAAUGAAUCUUUCUAAGUGCUACCGGUUCUGAAAGUGUUCGGUAUUCUCUGAAAUAUCAAAAGUACAAAUAUUAUUCAUAUAUGCAUCUGUAAGAAGACUCAAUUUGUUAUCCAAAGUACUCUGUCCAAGUUGUAUAUGAGAAUAACUCAUAAUCCUAUAUGAGUUAUUCACUGGCGAGUACUUUAUCAUAUGUGGAAUAGCAGUGUGAAUGUAGCAACACGUAAGGCAGUACUGUUUUCUGUCUACGAGUCGAUUCCACUUCGCUACCAUACCGCGAAGUGGAUCGGAUUACGUGGCGCCUUGAAGAUCCACGUGCAGUCCAGGGUGUACAACCUGCGGAGCUAAGAAAAUACUUCUUCAUACUGGAUUCUCAUAUGAAUUUGAAGCACGUGUGACACACGUGUUCUUGACUUUGUUUCUUUUAUAGAGACAGUAAGAACAUCACUUUUUAUUUAAAUACAAAUUCCUUAUACACAAUUUAGAUAUUUUAGAUGCUGGCAUUUCUAAUGAAUCUUGCUGCUAAUGAAUUUCAUAAUGGUGAAUCUCCAGCGACCAGUUCGCAGAUUUGUUUUGCCGGUGUUAAUUCAGUGCCCUGCACGCGAUACACGUGUACCUUUACUAAGAAGAAGAAGAAGAAGAGGAAGAAGAAGUGAAUGGAAAAUGUUGUAAAUCUCUAAGGAUCUUUUCUAUUGCUUGUAGAAGGAAAAAAAAAAAGGCGAUGGUACUGGCACGAAUCUACUGAUGGGAUGGGACUGGUUGGGAUCUGGAUAGACGGUGGACCAACUUCUUGGAGUCACACUUGAUCCUUUAAGCGUGACAAAAAGUUGAACGUUACGGCACGCUGACGGGGGACCUUUCGUCAGGGUCUUCGCCUGAUGCAUUAUGCAGAGUUUCUCCUGGUGUGAAACCUCGUUUGGCAUUGUUCAUCUGGUGGAAUGAUGCUGCAGCCAUUUUCUGUUAUCCACACUUUGGAUAACCCAGGAUCUCGCAUGGCAUUCGAAGCAUUGCUGCACGUGUCGCUCUUCCAUGAUGACGUAAAAAAUAUUAGUAGAUCUUAUAGUGCAUACCGGAGUAACUUUAACAGGAAGCCUGUUAAAAAGGGCCGAUCCAAUUUUUUUUUUCAACCUCCCAUCCGUCUUUCGUCCACGUGUCGAACUUCCUGCCCUCGAGAUUCCGUUGCCCGAGGAAAUUACGUGCGAUGAGUGGCUAUGGACGAAAGUGUCUGGAAAAGAAGGGGAAAGUAUCAGGACUGUUGAUAUUGGUCAGAAGCAGUAUGCCAUUGCUGAGUUAAGGAUUCUAUGACUUUUGUAACGCACUGUACGUACCCGUGGGGUCCACCGUAUUAAUAUGGGCAACGCGUGCGGAUGCUUUUACCCAUUUUUAUGCAUUCUUUGGGCGGCUCACACAUCCGUUAGGAUAAUAAUUUCAGCUGGACAUAAUGACAUUCCAAGCGUGCUGACAAUGGCCCAUCCAGAGCAUUAACGGUCUCGGUACUGGUAUGGAGUAGUAACACAAGAAGAAGAUAGCUAAAGGAUAACUUAUGUGGAUAUAGGAUAUACGUAUACGAAUAGUGCUUAUAAUAAAAGGAUACUCUAGUAUAUAUAGACGUAAGGCCCAAUUUAGUAAAAUCUUCACAUGCCCCCUUCAUCUGCUCGAAUCCGAAGCAUUGGGGCAGGUGAAUCUUUUGGUUUUUUCUAUCUUGAAGAUAUUAACUGUAAACAAAGGGAGUGGGCCUCUUUCGCAAGACCCAUCAAUGGAGGAGAGAUGGGCCUUAUUAUCUUGCGAGCACACGCGCUACUCUUUUGGAAUUUAUAAAUUACUCGCGCUCAGGGGCUCAGGCCUAGAACAGUCAGGGGCAUCGGACUACGUAGACUAUACAUAUAUAUAUACUAGAGAGAGAGAGAGAGAGAGAGAGGGAUGCUGCGUGGUACAUUAUUCCAGAGAUCCUUCAUGAAGAUCCACGUCAAAAAUCUCUGAGCCAUUAACAUAUCUCGUGUCAGAAAUCGAAGAACCGAGUCGGAUGGGGAAUUCGACUUGCUUGAAGAUUCUUCUUGUUUCACAGCAUCUCAAAAGAUACCUGGGGAUAAGUAAGUUCACGAGAUAUUAGAAUACACGAAGAUAUGGGUGGUUUAUAAUUUUAGUAAUUAUUUAAAUCAGAUUCAAAUUUAUUGGAUUUGCAUAUCUAAUCUGGUUAAAUUGUUUAAAGAGCUCCUGUAUUUCUGUCAUAAGAUUAUACCUGGUAGGUGAGACUGUCUCAUGAGUCCCUUAGUAUAAUUUUGGGACUUAUGCAGAAAAGAGGAUUGAGCCAGAAGUCUGGUUAUAAUUCUUACGUAUGAAAAUGAAUUAUCGUUCCUGUUUGUUAUAUAUGUAUAUAGCUACUGUGUAUAAGUAAUGGAGUCUUAAGUCAGGGCCCUAGGGCCCACAAUAUCGACGCUCCUGAUCCGUCACGGCUAAUUGACAGCAUUUUGUGUUCGCGCGAACGUGACAUUGCUACGCGGGACUUCUCGCACUCAUUGCGUCAUUACGGAUAACACGUGUUCGUCUUAGUGCUGUUGGGUGUUAACUUCUUUGGGUCCGACGAUAGGAAGAGAUUGGGGCCCCGGUGCUCCUGGUUGGAGCGUAAAUGGCGGCAGCAAAGCAUCACGGUAGCAGCACGCAGUAACGCCGACCGAAUACCAACGAUUUAUAUAACGAUUUGAGGCCCUAAGCUCCUGGGUCCUACGUACGUCGCAAGGCCCCUUUGAUGCGCUCCUGAUGUGGUAUAAAUAGAACCUGCUUCUUCGCGGCUCGUCCACUCGACAACGACAGCUAACCUAACCUUACCAACUUCACCUACCUGUACCUACCUACCGACCAACCAAUGUACCAACCUUUUACCAACCAACCAUCACGACCUCUUCUCCUGGGACUUCUUGCGCCGUAACCUGUUAUUUCAGGAUUGCGAAUCGGCCGCGGUUUUUUACCAGUGCCAGCUCCUGCCACUAUAAAUAUCGAACUCACUCGACUGUCCAGGACGACGAUGAACCCCUUUCGCAUCCUUUCCAAGAAACUUCGAGGCGCCUCUUCACAGCAUCUGUCGCGCGCCACUGUGUCUCCCUCACAAUUAGACAAGAUUGCCAGGGCGAUCCUUCUGGGACCGAUAAAAAGCUCAGGGUGCCAGUCACUCGGACGAUUGGGACUCGCCUCUUGAAUUUAUUGGGCUUUCAGUUUCGACAGGAAGUUCACUUUAGACAUGGACGAUCUUCUUUUUUUAGGCCCUGAUGAACUUUAGUCUUAUUCGGUGUAUAUACCUGGCCGGUACCUUCUUCAAGGAUCCAUUCACCGUUACAUUGUAUCCUGGGUCACGAGCUCCUUCUUCUAUAUCUUCGCACGGGGUUCAUCAGUUUCAUCACGAGGUGAAUAAAACGGAUUUCGUUCCAGUUCCAAUGAUCCAAAUCCGUUUACCUAGUUUCAAGAAAAUAAUGGUGUGAGCUGGCACAACAGACACCGCCACUUGCUAGUAUAUAUAUAUAUAUAUAUAUAU